AGUAGACUAGGCCCAAUAUUGUAAGACACUAGGCCUAGGUUUCCCUUUUAUUUUUUAGGGUGGACCCCACCCCUUUUAGGACACAUGAUCCUAGAAAAUAUUGACCAGCGGUCACUUGCUGAGGAUUCUUGGUGUUGGAACGUUUCUGGAGCUGGUCUUUGAACAUUUUAGUUGUUUUAUUUUCAUUGAGAAGGGAGAAUGGCAUGGGACGUAGAUUAAUUUGGAGAGCCGACGCACACACUUUUGAAGGGCUGGAAGGGGAGCAAGCUGCACACACUCUCAUUGGCAUUUGAAAUUGGAGGAGGAGCUGAUUCUUUGCAAGCUGCACACUCUGAUUAAUGGAGAAAGAGAAACGGUGCAUUCAUUUUGCUGUCAUAAACGUUCAUGUGAAAUAUAUUUCUUUAUUGAAUUUGGUGACAUUCAUUUUGCUAGGAGAUAUGCACACGCUGAUUCACUGUGAUUUUGGAGUGUCACAUACUGAAUCCAUUUACUUUAGUAGCCUUGUUCUAGAUUUCAUUUUCAAUGUUAUGUGUUUUUAAUUUACUGUUUUAAGAAACACUGUUGAAGUUGCUAAAAUGAACAUUUCUCCUUUUAAUUUAAUAUUAUAAUUUUCUAGCAUUAAAUAAUAUUUUUCUAGCAUUUCUUCUUUUAAGCUUCCACCGAGAAUAUUUUAUAUUAUUUACAUUGAAUUGUAUUUAACUUUGCUCAAUACUAUUAACGCAAAUUUUUU
rnacentral:lncRNA from 1 species